CUUAAAGGAAUUGACGGGGGCCCGCACAAGCGGUGGAUUAUGUGGAUUAAUUCGAUGCAACGCGCAAAACCUUACCUGGCCUUGACAUGCCACUAACGAAGCAGAGAUGCAUUAGGUGCCCGAAAGGGAAAGUGGACACAGGUGCUGCAUGGCUGUCGUCAGCUCGUGUCGUGAGAUGUUGGGUUAAGUCCCGCAACGAGCGCAACCCUUGCCAAUAAUUGCCAUCAUUCAGUUGGGCACUUUAUUGGGACUGCCGGUGACAAACCGGAGGAAGGUGGGGAUGACGUCAAGUCCUCAUGGCCCUUAUGGCCAGGGCUUCACACGUAAUACAAUGGUCGGUACAGAGGGUUGCCAACCCGCGAGGGGGAGCCAAUCCCAGAAAGCCGAUCGUAGUCCGGAUUGCAGUCUGCAACUCGACUGCAUGAAGUCGGAAUCGCUAGUAAUCGCAGAUCAGCAUGUCGCGGUGAAUACGUUCCCGGCCCUUGUACACACCGGCCGUCACAC
rnacentral:rRNA from 1 species